CAGUCGCCGCGGGAAUACGUAGGUGGCAAGCGUUGUCCGGAAUUAUUGGGCGUAAAGGGCUCGCAGGCGGUUUCUUAAGUCUGAUGUGAAAGCCCCCGGCUCAACCGGGGAGGGUCACUGGAAACUGGGAAACUUGAGUGCAGAAGAGGAGAGUGGAAUUCCACGUGUAGCGGUGAAAUGCGUAGAGAUGUGGAGGAACACCAGUGGCGAAGGCGACUCUCUGGUCUGUAACUGACGCUGAGGAGCGAAAGCGUGGGGAGCGAACAGGAUUAGAUACCCCCGUAGUCCCUGUCUCUUAUAC
rnacentral:rRNA from 1 species